AGUUUAAAAAACCACAACGCGUUUCGCCCUUAGGCGUUAUCAAGUGGAGCCUAAGGGCGAAACGCAUUGUGGUUUUUGUAAACUAUAUUGUUUU
rnacentral:miRNA from 1 species